rnacentral:rRNA from 1 species
UCAUUAGUUUUUUAAUUGAAAGCUUGAAUGAAAGAUUUAAUGAAAAAUUAACUUUUUCAAUUUAAAAGAGAGAAUUUUAUUUUUAAGUUAAAAAGCUUAAAUUUUUUUAAAAGACGAGAAGACCCUAUAGAGUUUAAUAAAAAUUGUUUAAUAAUUUUUUAGAAUUUAAUUAAUUUUUUAAUAGUUUUUAUUUAAUUGGGGUGAUUAUAAAAUUUAUUAAACUUUUAUAUAAUUAAUACAUUAAUUUAUGAUUCAAUGAUCUUAUUAUUUAUUUUGAUUAUUAGAUUAAAUUACCUUAGGGAUAACAGCGUAAUUUUAUUUUAAAGUUCUUAUUGAAAAUAAAGUUUGCGACCUCGAUGUUGGAUUAAAAUUUAAAAUUGGUGUAGAAGCUAAAU